rnacentral:misc_RNA from 1 species
UUAACUAUUAAAGUGUUACUCGGACAGAAUUUUACGGCAGGAUUUUGGGGUCCUCUGACAGGCACGAGCUAGCAGGAGCCAGCAGUCGCGAGACAGGCCUGUCAAAGCAACAAGGGUAACAUAAACAAAGGGUGGAGAUCUACCCAGAGGGCAGCGUCUCUUUAAUGAUCCUUCCGCAGGUUCACCUACGGAAA